GGAGGAACCAAUCCCAAAUUUCUGCCCCAACCAACAUUCAUCUCUCAUCUGCUCUCCAAUUCCCGCUUGCUCAAGCUUUUUUAGGGUUAGGACGAAACAGAAGCAGCAGCAGCAGGAGGAGGAGGUCGCAGCAUCACCGCAGAGGCGGCAGCAGCAACAGCAAAUUCCGGCAGAUUAGUGAUUUAGCUUCAGCCGGAAAUUGAUCUUCAAUGUCAGGAGAAGUUCAGAUGAGUUCAGAAAAGCAACCACGAAGAGGACUGUCAUGCACCCGUUACUUCGAUGCACUCUGGUUCUGCUACUCUCCCGUCCAUCAGAUGCAGCAAUAUUAUAGACUUGGUGCCCUUGAUAAUUGUAGUAAGAAAUGGAGUGGUCUCGUUGAUUGUCUGACUUUAAAAACCAAAAGGUCUUCUGAAGUGGAGGAAAUUUUAGAAACACGCGAGAAAGCGAAGCCUCACCUGUGGUCAACACGAACCCCUGAAGAAGCCGCAGCUUAUUGGAGCGAACUCUUUGACCAUCUAGAUGAAGAGUAAAACUCUUAAGACCUUUUCAUCAGACAUUUGCUCAAUCAAUACGAGAAAGUUUAUUAUAUCAUUUGAAAUAAUCUUCUCCCCAAUGAUGCUUGUUUCAAACAUGUCUUAGAGGCACCAUGGUUAUCAAAGUGGGUUUCUAAAGAGGCACCAGUUUAGGAAUGUUUAGAAUAGGAACAUUGUGUAGGAAAAUCUUCUUUUUCCUUGAGUGAUUGAAGCAGCAUAAACAAAUUCCAACAAUCUUAAACGUCAGAGUAACACCACCUUCUGAUUCAGA
rnacentral:misc_RNA from 1 species